ACAAAGAUGAUCAAACUUUGUCACUAGCCAGCGAAUUAGCCGCCUCCUCUGUGUUUUUCACUCCCUCAUCAAUGGGGCAAGAGUGUUUGGCUCAGGUUCAAGAAGGAAGAAGAUGUCAUCAAAAUCCCUCCACCUCUUUUGAAACACUUCCCAUUCAAUCUCAGAGGGAUUCUUCAUAUCGAAGCCCAAGUCAGUGUAGGCGAAC
rnacentral:lncRNA from 1 species